rnacentral:rRNA from 1 species
GAAGCAACGCGCAGAACCUUACCAGCGUUUGACAUGGUAGGACGGUUUCCAGAGAUGGAUUCCUUCCCUUACGGGACCUACACACAGGUGCUGCAUGGCUGUCGUCAGCUCGUGUCGUGAGAUGUUGGGUUAAGUCCCGCAACGAGCGCAACCCUCGUCUUUAGUUGCUACCAUUUAGUUGGGCACUCUAAAGAAACUGCCGGUGAUAAGCCGGAGGAAGGUGGGGAUGACGUCAAGUCCUCAUGGCCCUUACGCGCUGGGCUACACACGUGCUACAAUGGCGGUGACAGAGGGCUGCAAACCCGCGAGGGUGAGCUAAUCUCCAAAAACCGUUCUCAGUUCGGAUUGGAGUCUGCAACUCGACUCCAUGAAGCUGGAAUCGCUAGUAAUCGCUGAUCAGCAAGCAGCGGUGAAUACGUUCCCGGGCCUUGUACACACCGCCCGUCACAUCACGAAAGCUAUUUGUACUAGAAGCCGGCGAUUCAACCGCAAGGAGAUAGCCGUCCAAGGUAUGAGUGGUGAUUGGGGUGAAGUCGUAACAAGGUA